UAUUUAUUCUUUUCCUCAAAUAUAAUAACCGCCCAUAAAUAUAGUGUGACAGUUAUGAUUGCACUUAAGAUAUUUUUGUGAUGGACAAAAUUAUAAAUAGAGUGCAACCCUUGUUUUGGUUUUCUAAGUCUCAUAUCUCUAUUUAGUGACUUACACCAUUUAGUGACUUACACCAUCUAAGGGAGAUUGUAGAAGGUUUAGAAGAGCCUCAACAACCUAUCAACAACCUCAAGCAAGAUCAAUCCUCAACAGGAACAAGCUAUAGCAAUGGCGGGAGGUAUCUCUGCUAUUUAAAUUCAAUUUUGUUUCCGCUGUUUUAAGAUAGAAUUUCGUUUAUGAAUUUGUAGAAAUUCUAACAGAAAUAAGAAAAGAAAGUAGAUCAUAACAUAAAUAAACUUCAUAAGUCUAGCAAUAUAUAUUUCCCUUUGCAUAUAACAAAUAGAAUAUGAUUUGAUAACUUUAUAACACACUUAUAGAAUUGUAAAGAGAGUCGUCAUUGAUUGUUUAAAUUUGUUUUUUAUAUAGAAUUGUAGGGAUACAAUUACACCGAUUAGCAGGAGUACACUUCACUUCCCAACCAGACCUACACUUAAUAUGUAUACAGUCACCGUCAUUAUGACAUUCAACUAUAAUGAAAAUUAUAACACAAGAAUGUUAUUAUUAAUUAAAGGGGGAUAUAUGUUAGAAGCAAAUAAGAACAUUUUAGAAGAAUGAAAAAUGGCUUACGGUGGUAAGGGUAAGCGUUUGUUGCAACAUGAAAUAAGGAAAGAAAAGUAGAUCAUAACAUAAAUAAACUUCAUAAGUUCAGCAAUAUAUUUUCCGCUUUGCAUAUAACAAAUAGAAUAUGUUUUGAUAACUUUAUAAUAAUGUAUAAAGCUCAAGCUUUCUUUACACAAGUUACAUAGUUUUUAACAUUUAUAUAUGUUAGAAGUAAACAAUAACAUUUAGAACUAAUAUAAAAUAUCUCUUAACUACAUUGAAGUGU
rnacentral:lncRNA from 1 species